CAAAUACGCCACUCAACAGACCCUUUUUCAUCAAGCCCUAACUUUCUCUUCAUGAACAUCUCGGCGUGAAAGGGAUUUUUUUUCAUCUUCUCUCUCUAUCUUCAGCCGGUCACCAUAGUCUAAAUUGCUAACAACUACCCUUAAGUUUUGAAAGAGAAGGGAGCCCUUAAAAUGCUUUCAAAACGAAAAUCAAGAGGAACGAAUCGUUGCCUGUUACCAUUGCGAGGAGGUCAGCUGAUUGGCUACUCUUUCAAUUGCCCAUCGAUCAAAGAAAGCCGUAAGCCCUAAAUGAUAACACACGGCUCAGAAACGAAACCCUAAGCCCAAAUAUUGUGUUUUGAAUUUCUCUCUCAAUCAAAAAUUACAGGUAUGUAAGAUUUUCCCUUUCUCGUACAUACGACCCAGAUUUGAUUUUUGUUGUUGUUUCGCCCAAAUCUUUGAAAGUAUUAGUCUUUCUUUUAAUUUCUUUCAAUGCUGCUGGAUUGUUCGUGUUUUUGCGAAUUCAUUCACCGAGAAAUCCUCUUUGAUUUCACCUAUCUGGCUUUCUCAAAGUCCCCUUUUCUCUAUUUGAUUUGGAAGAAAAUGCUCUUUGAUUUGUCAAAAAAUGCAAUUCAAGUUGUUCGAAAUUCGAUAUCAGUUGUUCAAAAAGAGCUCUUAUAUAUACUUUAUUAGCACAAUCAGAAAGGUAAAUGGAGCUUCGACUUCUUCCAUUUCCGAUAAGGUUUUUCAAGUGGUAGCGAAGCGAAUGUCAUUUCCAGAAUGAGAAGCAAGCAAAGGAAAGUGAAAGAGAAUGCAAGAGCAAACGUAGCAGAUUGGAACUAGGAUUGCGUGGGAUCUUUCCAAGUACCUGAAUUCUAAGAACCAUGUAAAAUCGGCUAGAACCCCUUUUUCGCUAUCUAGUCCGGCACCGACCCUAUCCGGCUGAUGAGAUGCAUAUAUGUUGAUUGAUAGCAAAAUUCGGUUUUAUAAAAAAACGACCCUUUGUUUGAUCUUUCCAGAGUUAAUUGGGUGGAGGCGACUCACAUAUAUCUCAUUGUGAGAAAAUCUAGAAGCAAGGUUGUAAAAGACUCUUGGCUCAUGGAGCAAAUGGAGAAAGAGAGAUUGGUGAGCAUAUAGUUAAGGCAAUGGAGAAAGUUGGCGAAGGUUUUAUUAUAAUUGUUGUAGGAUCGAUCACCCAUUUUAAAGCUUGUGAAGGAUCGUGGUUGCAUAAGAAGAUCAGCUAAUAAGUUUUAUAAUCACUCGACAUGAUUUUAGCUACUAUCUACAGUUAAUAUAUAUAUUUGUUGUAGUUUGAGAUAUUAAUUUUCAUUGUAAUUGAUCCUAAACUAAAAUUUGAAUUGUUAAU